rnacentral:rRNA from 1 species
AGCGAACGCUGGCGGCAGGCCUAACACAUGCAAGUCGAACGAACCCUUCGGGGUUAGUGGCGGACGGGUGAGUAACACGUGGGAACGUGCCUUUAGGUUCGGAAUAACUCAGGGAAACUUGUGCUAAUACCGAAUGUGCCCUUCAGGGGAAAGAUUUAUCGCCUUUAGAGCGGCCCGCGUCUGAUUAGCUAGUUGGGGAGGUAAUGGCUCACCAAGGCUACGAUCAGUAGCUGGUCUGAGAGGAUGACCAGCCACAUUGGGACUGAGACACGGCCCAAACUCCUACGGGAGGCAGCAGUGGGGAAUCUUGCGAAAUGGGCGAAAGCCUGACGCAGCCAUGCCGCGUGGAUGAUGAAGGUCUUAGGAUUGUAAAAUCCUUUCACCGGUGAAGAUAAUGACUGUAGCCGGAGAAGAAGCCCCGGCUAACUUCGUGCCAGCAGCCGCAGUAAGAC